rnacentral:rRNA from 1 species
AACGAACGCUGGCGGCAGGCUUAACACAUGCAAGUCGAACGCAUCGCAAGAUGAGUGGCAGACGGGUGAGUAACGCGUGGGAAUCUACCUAGUUCUACGGAACAACAGUUGGAAACGACUGCUAAUACCGUAUACGCCCUAUGGGGGAAAGAUUCAUCGGAAUUAGAUGAGCCCGCGUAAGAUUAGCUAGUUGGUGGGGUAAUGGCCUACCAAGGCGACGAUCUUUAGCUGGUCUGAGAGGAUGAUCAGCCACACUGGGACUGAGACACGGCCCAGACUCCUACGGGAGGCAGCAGUGGGGAAUAUUGGACAAUGGGCGCAAGCCUGAUCCAGCCAUGCCGCGUGAGUGAUGAAGGCCUUAGGGUUGUAAAGCUCUUUCACCGAUGAAGAUAAUGACGGUAGUCGGAGAAGAAGCCCCGGCUAACUUCGUGCCAGCAGCCGCGGUAA